rnacentral:snRNA from 1 species
GUGUCCACCUUGGUAGCAGAGAUACAAAAAUUGGAACAAUACCGAGGAGAUUAGCAUGGCCCCUGCACAACGAUGACACACAAAUCUGUAAAGCGUUUUUUAAUUUU